rnacentral:lncRNA from 1 species
AUGCUUGUUUUCUGUUAUAUGAAGCAGUCCAUGAUACUGAAAAACUGUAGUUUUUAUCCAUUUGGCACUCAUCUUGAAGUAUUUCCUCCUAAAGGAAUUAUCUACAGAUGCCAGCCCUGUUCACAUGUGAUCAAGGUCAGGUUUCCAGUCUUGCACACAACAUCACAUCGUUUAUUCUGGGGGAGUAAACACUUGUGUACCAGCACCGAUGUCCCCAGGAGCCAGGGAGAUGAAAUGCCAACUCAAGGGAUGAUUCGAUGAGCCACCACAUCUGCUGUUCCCAUUGUAGGUGAGUAGUGCCUGAAAGGAUUACUUGUUUUCCUGGUCACUGUUGUUGGAGAGGGGGACCAUUAAGGACCAAGCUCUCACUCCACCCCUGAAGUAUUCUGCGACAUGAGCUUGGUGGCAGGUUCUGGAAUGUUGAUGGAGUGACAGAGAGGGUCUUCACUGAAGACAAGGCCUCAGCAACUAGUGAGGAGAUGGUCUGGUGCCUGCCACCUCUUUUGGGAUGUGUGAAAGGCCGUGACUACACUUAUUUGCCCAGAGGCUGACCAGCCAGGAUCCCUGUGGUCAGGAGGGACAGGAGUCAGCUUUUUGUCUCUUGCUCUUACUGGGAUGGCUAGUUCUCUGGGCUGAACCAAGGCUGUACAUACUUUACCACAGUUGCAUCCAAGGAGUAAAAGGGGCUGAGAGGUCCUCUACCCACCCCCAGGCUGCUCUUGUUCCUAAGGGGUUCACCAGCACUUUUUUUUCGUAAGUUUAUAGCAUUAAGCUAAUUUUAAAGAUGAAAUCGGCUGUGCCAGGUAACUUUUUAUUUAUUUUUAUUUUUUAUUUUUUUGGGAGGGGGGUUGCGAGACAGGGUUUCUGUGUAUUGUUUUGGAGUCUGUCCUGGAACUAGCUCUGUAGACUGGGCUGGCCUCAAGAGAUCUGCAUGUGUCUGCCUCCUAAGUCCUGGGAUUAAAGGCAUGU